rnacentral:sRNA from 1 species
GGGCGGACAUGGGUCGGUCAAAAAGUUGCGAUCUCGUAAGAGGGAGCUAAUCUGAAAAAGCCGAUCUCAGUUCGGAUUGAGGGCUGCAACUCGCCCUCAUGAAGCCGGAAUCGCUAGUAAUCGCGAAUCAGCAAUGUCGCGGUGAAUACGUUCUCGGGUCUUGUACACACCGCCCGUCACACCAUGAGAGUUGAUAAUACCAGAAGUCGGUAUUCUAACCGCAAGGAGGAAGCCGCCCAAGGUAGGAUUGAUGAUUAGGGUGAAGUCGUAACAAGGUAUCCGUACGAGAACGUGCGGAUGGAUCACCUCCUUUCUAUGGAGUUAAUACUUUAUAGUAAUUAACUAGUUUUAAUGACCGUUAUGUUUAGUUUUCAGAGAUUAGUUUCUCUGACAAUAACAAGUAAAUGUUAUUGGAAUUGUUCUUUGAAAACUGGAUAAUAGACAUCUAGUUAUUUUAAUCACAUGAUUAAAAUAACAAUAAUUUCAAAAUUUCUGUUAUUUUUAAAAAAUAACUAAAAUUUCACAGUUAUAUUUGUAAAUGAUUCUCAAAAAACUGAUUUAAAAUCAGGUCAAAUAAUUUAUAAAACUUUGAAGUUACAAAGGGCGUAUGGUGAAUGCCUUGGGAAUAGGAGACGAUGAAGGACGUGACUACCUGCGAUAAGGUUCGGGGAGCUGGAAGUAAGCUUUGAUCCGGACAUGUCCGAAUGGGGAAACCCGGUGAGAUUAAUCUCUCAUCAUCCUAUAAUGAAUAAAUAGUUAUAGUGAAGGUAUACCUAGGGAAUUGAAACAUCUUAGUACCUAGAGGAAAAGAAAGCGAAUGCGAUUCUCUUAGUAGCGGCGAGCGAACGGGGAACAGCCCAAACCAGAUUUAUCUGGGGUUGUAGGACCAUAAUAGUAGAGUUACAAAACUUGUUUAUAGUAGAAAUGGUUGGGAAACCAUGCCGUAGAGGGUGAUAGCCCCGUAUACGAAAUAGACAAGACUCGAAAUGGAAUCCUGAGUACGGCGAGACACGUGAAAUCUUGUCGGAAUCAACGCGGACCACCGCGUAAGGCUAAAUACUACCUAUUCACCGAUAGUGAACCAGUACCGUGAGGGAAAGGUGAAAAGCACCCCGGGAGGGGAGUGAAAUAGUACCUGAAACCAUAUGCCUACAAGAAGUCGGAGCCCGUUAAUGGGUGACGGCGUGCCUUUUGUAGAAUGAGCCGGCGAGUUAUGAUAGCAUGCAAGGUUAAGUAGAAAAUACGGAGCCGUAGUGAAAGCGAGCCUUAAUAGGGCGUUUAGUAUGUUGUCAUAGACCCGAAACCAGGUGAUCUAGCCAUGAGCAGGUUGAAGUUGAGGUAAAACUUAAUGGAGGACCGAACCGACGUUCGUUGAAAAGACCGC